rnacentral:rRNA from 1 species
GCAAGUCGAGCGAGAAAGGUCUUCGGACUGAGUAGAGCGGCGAAAGGGUGAGUAAAACGUAAAUAACCUACACUUAAGAUUGGGACAACCUUGAUCACGCGAGGCUAAUACCAAAUGUGGUCAUUUUUUCUCAUGGAGAGAUGAUUAAAACUACGGUGCUUAAGGAUGGAGUUGCGGACUAUUAGCUAGUUGGUAAGGUAAUGGCUUACCAAGACGAUGAUAGAUAGCCGACCUGAGAGGGUGAUC